GACGAACGCUGGCGGCGUGCUUAACACAUGCAAGUCGAACGGAAAGGCCCUGCUUUUGUGGGGUGCUCGAUUGGCGAACGGGUGAGUAACACGUGAGUAACCUGCCCUUGACUUUGGGAUAACUUCAGGAAACUGGGGCUAAUACCGGAUAGGAUCUCCUGCUGCAUGUUGGGGGUUGGAAAGUUUCGGCGGUUGGGGAUGGACUCGCGGCUUAUCAGCUUGUUGGUGGGGUAGUGGCUUACCAAGGCUUUGACGGGUAGCCGGCCUGAGAGGGUGACCGGCCACAUUGGGACUGAGAUACGGACCAGAAUCCUACGGGAGGCAGCAGUGGGGAAUAUUGCACAAUGGGCGGAAGCCUGAUGCAGAAACGCCGCGUGCGGGAUGACGGCCUUCGGGUUGUAAACAGAUUUCGCCUGUGACGAAGAGUGAGUGACGGUAAUGGGUAAAGAAGCACCGGCUAACUACGUG
rnacentral:rRNA from 1 species